ACAAUAUCAUAUUAGGUAGCGAAGUCCAAAAGUCUGAGAAACUAAUGAAAAUACUUCUACUUUGCUGAUACUUUGGCAGCUAAAGAGUUAACAUGCAAGAAAGAAAGGUCUGGAACAACAUGAGGCUAAGUACAUGGUGCUGUCAACUUUUAGGGUGAUUAAAGGCGCAGUAUGUAAGUUUCGCCUCUAGAAGUCGCAUAUUCCUUGACGCUGUGAAGGAGCAUGGAGUGAUGGAGUGACAUCUUCACCUCCACUGCCGAUGGAAAUCAAUCCGACGGGACUAACAAAUCAUGUUCAUGGUGGAUGAGAAGAUGGCGCCCGCAGCUCAAUCAUCCAUCCUUUUACCAAACCACUGGUCCAAUGUGUCAUACAGAAUAGAUUGGUACAGCCUCCCCUAGAGGUGAGUGGAUAGUCCGUUCCCGAUUUGAAAUGCUUCAAUUGCGCCAUCUAGAGGAAAAUGUGGGGCAGCGCAUGAUGGAUUUGUCUUCUCAGGUGUGCUGAUAUGGUUCAUUUGUAGAGCAUUUAAAAACAUUAAAUGGUCUUUAUUAUUUACUGUGAAUAUGUGCGGGUUAGAUUCAUAUCCAUAUCAAUUUCCUUCCACUGCGAGGACCAUAUUUUCCCAUUACUAUAAUAGAGUAUUUACUUAAAUGAUACAGUGCAAUGAUUUAUGAGACUACUAGGUGUCGCUGUUUACAUACACUAAAAAAAAUACUAAUUAAAAAAAAACUGGCCAGGUAUUUGCAUGUAAAUCUAAUCGAAAUGCUCUGGCAAACUUGACUUAUUUUUUUUAUUGACUCAGAAACUUAUGUCAGUAAUAAAACACUCACACAUACAUUUCCCAUCACACUUUCACACACAAAACCAGGUCGAAAAAUCAUAAGCUUAUCCUUAUCAUAAGCUGUACAUUUGUUUCAUAUCUCAGGUUCAAAUGAUUAAUCAUACAAAUUGUACUUUAAAAUCAAUUAUAAUAUUAAUUAUAAUUUAACAUACAAAUUUAACACAAAGUUUAAAACAAAGAUACUCUAUACCCUAAAAAUAAUAAUAAAUGUGAACAAAAUGAAGUUAGGGUGUUUUUGGAACAAAAACUCAAAAUGCUGAUCUAAUGUAAUUUGAAACAACAACAAAUAAAAUUAAAUGAGAAAAAUGCAAUCUUUGACUUUUGGACCCCACUGAAUAAAUUAAACUAAAUUUUGUGUUUUGCAAUAUUUCUUUUGUUUCUUUUCAAAUAUGAGAACACAAAUGAAUGUAUUUUUUACAGAGAAAUAAUUUGAAGCCUGCAGGGCUAGGUCUCUUGAUACAAGUGAAAUGUCUCUUUGUAUUAUGUUAAAACAAAUGAAAUCUCUCUUCAAGCCAGUGUUUUGCUGCAGUACAGAUGCUCCAUCUUGUUCUCACCCACGGCUCUGCUAAUUCAGCAAGAAAAGAAAAAAAACUGUGAUAUGCUAUUUUUAUCACUCUCAUGGAAGUUUCACAGAGGAACAGAACUCUGUACAAAAUGUUUGAAACUACUUGAGGAACUGAACAGAAAGUGAGGCCAGCAGGGGUUAUAUAUAGCUGCACAGGUACACUAUGCCGUCAUCAAAAAGGAGGACAAUACGAAGGACACAAAAAGAUCUUCUUUAAUCCAAAAUGAAGGGAGAAUGAGAGCAGUGUUUGUUCAGAAGGAGAGUGUUGUGUAAACAACAAGCUGGGAUUCUGACAGCUGGCGUGAACCAGAGGAACUGAUACCUGACAACUCUCUCUCUUUCUCUUUAAUCUCAGCGAUACAGUUCACCCAACUGAAAGGUGACUAAAUACAGACAUUUUGCACUACUCCUACCCACAAAAACAAAAAAAAAAAAAAAAAAACAGUUUAACUAUUUGCAUCUAUUGAUUUUAAUUAAAUAAUUAAAAUGCAUUUAUUCAAAUAGUUUAGAAUCAUCAUGAAUCUGGUUAUUGUGUAUUUAAAACAAAUUCAGUUUAUUACAACUAUUACAAAAAUAUUUUCUGUUUCUUACCAUUUCAUUUAUGUAUCAUGACUGACAAAUAUGCAUCAGAUGAAGAAGUUUAUUAGUUUGUUUGUUAAAUAAACAAUGUGUAAUCCAAAUGGAUGGAAAUUUUACAUACAUUUUUAAUUUAGGCCUAUAUAUGUCAGGUUUAUGUUCCAUUCUAUGGAUUCUUAUUUUGAUAUUUUGUUCUACUUCCUUUGGUUCCUGUUUCCCUGCUCUGUUUAGUUUCAGUUUCCUUGGUUACUGAUUAUGUCCUUGUUUGUUACUAUAGUUACGUAUUAGUUUCACUUGUGUCUAGUUUGGUUUCCUCUGUUCUAAGCCUGUAAUUGACCCUUUGCCAGGAGUUUGAUUGACAGCCGAUCUAACCAAUCAUAACGCAGAAUCCGCCAUUUUGUCCGACAAAGCAGUUGGGGGAGUUAGCAGAUUAACAUAGGUGGACUUGAACUUGAAAAAUGGUAUGUGCUGAUAUCUUUCCGCGAUUGAAACAACAUACCUUAUGAUGUUCAUUCAUGUUUAUUUAAUGCUAUAAAUCAACUAGUAGGAAGAGAUGAUCGGUUCAUGAGCCGCUUGAACUGAGGCACUACAGCGAUCUGUCACGACACAUUAAAGAGCCA